GCGGUCCUAUCAUGCAGUCGAACGCUGAAGCACUCUGCUUGCAGAGUGUGGAUGAGUGGCGAACGGGUGAGUAACACGUGGGGAACCUGCCCAUAAGAGGGGGAUAACAUUCGGAAACGGAUGCUAAUACCGCAUAGGUGAUCAUAGCGCAUGCUUAGAUCAUUAAAGAUGGCUUCGGCUAUCGCUUAUGGAUGGCCCCGCGGCGUAUUAGCUAGUUGGUGAGGUAAUGGCUCACCAAGGCUGUGAUACGUAGCCGACCUGAGAGGGUGAUCGGCCACACUGGAACUGAGACACGGUCCAGACUCCUACGGGAGGCAGCAGUAGGGAAUCUUCCACAAUGGGCGAAAGCCUGAUGGAGCAAUACCGCGUGAGUGAAGAAGGUCUUCGGAUCGUAAAGCUCUGUUGUUAGAGAAGAAUAAGAGGUGUAGUAACUGGCAUCUCCUUGACGGUAUCUAACCAGAAAGUCACGGCUAACUACGUGCCAGCAGCCGCGGUAAUACGUAGGUGACAAGCGUUGUCCGGAUUUAUUGGGCGUAAAGCGAGCGCAGGCGGUCUUUUAAGUCUGAUGUGAAAGCCCACGGCUCAACCGUGGAGGGUCAUUGGAAACUGGAAGACUUGAAUGCAGAAGAGGAAAGUGGAAUUCCAUGUGUAGCGGUGAAAUGCGUAGAUAUAUGGAGGAACACCAGUGGCGAAGGCGACUUUCUGGUCUGUAAUUGACGCUGAGGCUCGAAAGCGUGGGGAGCAAACAGGAUUAGAUACCCUGGUAGUCCACGCCGUAAACGAUGAGUGCUAAGUGUUGGAGGGUUCCCGCCCUUCAGGUGCUGGAGCUAACGCAUGUAAUGCACUCCACCUGGGCGAGUACGGCCGCAAGGCUGAAACUCAAAGGAAUUGACGGGGACCCCCACAAGCGGUGGAGCAUGUGGUUUAAUUCCAAGCAACGCGANAGAACCUUACCAGUUCUUGACAUCCUCUGACCACCCAAGAGAUUGGGCUUUCCCUUCGGGGACAGAGUGACAGGUGGUGCAUGGUUGUCGUCAGCUCGUGUCGUGAGAUGUUGGGUUAAGUCCCGUAACGAGCGCAACCCUUAUUGUUAGUUGCCAGCAUUUNAGUUGGGCACUCUAGCGAGACUGCCGGUGAUAA
rnacentral:rRNA from 1 species